rnacentral:lncRNA from 1 species
CAGCGUGAGGGGGCUGUAAUGCCUCCUCCUCUCUUCGAUCUCUUCACCUGCGAAUCCAAAAAAUAACACAGCAAGGGCAGUCAAUUUUAAGUUUUCGGGUCCAGAUUCUCAUUCUCCUUUUUAGAUCCAGCGGCUGUGGGAGAUGAGGAACUGGUUCGGUCGGCGGGGAGAAGUUGUUUCUGUGGCGCCGCUGUGUGAGGGCUGUGGUCGGAGGAAGACGGCGCUGCUGUACGGGGAGGGGGCGUUGUUGCUGGCAGAAGGAGCUGGGUUUGCCCAAAUGAUGGGCGGCUGAGACGAUGGAGAUCGUGGCCGAGAGAGAGAAGCCGGUCAGAGCUGAGGAGCGGUUGGCUUCGGUGGCUGUCUCUGCUGGUGCUGGAGGUCGGCUGAAGAAGAGAAGGCUGGGUCGGUGGCUGAGAGAGAAACCGGAGGAUGGUGAACGGCGGAGUGAGAUGAAGAGAAAAACAAAAUGGCCGGCUGAGAGAGAAGGCUAAAAAUCCAGCAAAGGUGGGGACGACGGCUGUGUUCUUCUCAAUCGGCUCAAGGGAGAAUAAAAGGAAGUGAGGGGGCUUUCCAGUGGCGGUUGUGGCUUGGAGUGUGGAGGGAGAGAAACAGUGUAGGCCGGCGAUGGUGAUGGGUUUGUGGAGAUGGGGGUGUUCGGGUGGCUGAGGCAAAAAAUUCAAACCAAAGGGGAGGGGGGCGGCUUGUCUUGAAAAAAAAUGGGUUUAGGGUUAGGUUUUGUAUUUUUUCUGAAG